UUUAAUUCAACAACACUGAGAGAACUCCUUUUCUCUAUCGUUCCUUUCAAAACCCUAGCGUCGCAGACACAUUUUCUUCAAAAAAAAUUGACAUCAAACACCGAUUUCACAUCUUCAUUACAGGUAGGAUUAUGUUCUAUCAUUUACCAGUUUGUCAUCGAUAUAUCAUUUACUAGAUUUUCACUCUCAAAACCCUAAAUCUCAAUCUAAAGAAACUAAGCAUAAGGUAUGAUGUUUGUGUUCUAUGUUUAUGUGUUCAUCAUUUAUCCUGCCAUAAACCCUAAUGUAGUAACAACCGAAUAGCCCAUCAGUUAUUUUUACCGCCGCAGUCGCAAGCAUUCCGGUCAAGCUUCGCCGGAGUCGAUCGAACUCCAGUUCAAGAUCUUGCAACUACCAUUGAAGGAUUUCAUUUGUAGGAUUGGCACUAUAUGUAAGCUUUUGAUUCUUUUUAACUCUAGGGCUGCUUUUGAUUUUAGGGAUGUUGCUUUUAAUUUGUUGUAAAAAAAUUUGCCAGAAAAAGAAAUUGAUUGUAAAGAUACGUUGAACAAGUUCAUAAUCCAAAAACGGUCUGCGUUGACUUUCGUUGACAUCCAAAGUUGACCAAUUUAAAAGUAAACAGGUCAAAUACACACACCUAAUAUCACUGAUAUAUUCAAUAUAAGAUAAAUGUAACUUAACAAGAAGAAAAAUAAAUUCACAUAUAUAAAAAUAGAACAUACCAGUAACACAGUGCUGAUUCCCGACAUUCCCAAUUCAUAAAAGAAAGAAAUAACUGAAAUGCUCCUCAAAGUCGGACUAAAACAAAAAACGCUCAUGUUAGAAUCAGCUCGAAAGAACAGCAAAAGAGUAACUACCACAAUGGUGAAUCUUGAAAUCCACAUACGUGUUUAACACGAUAGUUACAGCAUAUUUCAUUGUUUUAUAACGUUCUUGUACAACCGUGAGUGCUUUAUUCAAAUAAGAUGAAUGUUGAUCCAGCUUUGGAGUUGAUUUAACCGUUUCAACGAGAAAGAACGCCAUAUAAACUGGACAGAAGAUUAACAAAGCUAUUGAAACCUGAAUCAGAAGGAAUUAUAAUAAGAAAAAUUGUAAGAAAACUAAAAACUGUGUAUUAUUAAUUAUGCUAUAGAUAGUAUUAAUAUAAGUGUACUUUGAAAAUGUACUCUUCUGGAAGAAAACGUGCUAGGAGAUUUCCGACGACAUGUGAUGCAGAAACUAGGCCUGUUAUCAAACUAAAAACAGUUGCACGUUUUCUAUGAUCAACAAUAUCUGCCUGCAAACCGCAGGGACCAUCCGUGUACUUUUGGAAAUCUAAGGACCCAACUCCAAAGUUUUGAUCAACCACAGGGACUAGGGACUAUUCGUGUACUUUACUCAAAAGGCUAAUUGGGGACUUUCAAACGGUUUGAUGUGUUCCUCUUUAAAUUCUUUUUUAUUUCACCCAUUUCAAACGGGUAUGGGUAUGAGAUUACCAAUACCCGACCCGAACCCGACCCAUUGCCAUCCCUUUCCUGUGCGAGGAUCAUGUGGCCAAACUGUGUCCCGCCCAUUCUGCACAUUAUAAAGUCUUCAGACAAAAAUUUACAUAGCAUAACAUAAUUAAUGAUGUAACAAUAAAGAAUGGAACAUAUAGCAUAUAAAACUAGCACAUGAUUAUGAGUAAUUUCAAGGACUCCUCAAAUUUGGAUAUAUAGAUCAAUUAAUAAAACUCAAGAUCCAAAUUUAUCAACAAGUCUUAACAUAUGAUUGUAUAUAGUGUCUUUCUAGAAAAUGUACUAUAGCUGCACAAUAAUUUUUACAGCUUGACAGUCAAUUUCCUAAUAAAAUAUGACAAUUGUUUUUGAGGAGUAUAAUAAUUUCAUUUCCUGCAUACGGUAUGUAACAAGUUCAUUUAUUGCUAACAGUAAUUGACUCACUACCCUUUUCCAUAAAAGCACAUUCAUGAUCUAUAUCCUUAUGUGGAUGUGGAAGUGCCUAGCUAUAGAAAUAUGGUGAAAGCACAUUCAGCUCCGCCACUGCCACUGAUGAAUGGAUGUACAAUAAUGCUAUAACCAAAAGCAACAGCAGAUACUUUUAUUAUGCUAUAGCCACGACCAGGUUUGCAGCAAUUGAAUGCAAAAAGUCUCAUAAGGUUUUGCCCAGUUGAUGCAAAAGUCUUUUCGCCUUUGUUGAUUUGUUAGCAGUAACUUGGAAACAAUGGGUGCAUGGACCAGUCAAAUUGAGCAAAGAAAAGUUGCUAAGGUUGGAGACUAAUCAUCGAAAAAAAUCAUGUUAUCAGUUAUUUACCGUUAACAGUAAUAUAUCACUCUGUUUGUAUUUAUUUUAUUUAUAAACUUAUAAUUAAUGUAAAUCAAAAUUUCCUACCCGGGAAGUUCCCGGGUGAUAACCUAGUUAAUGAUAUAUGUAAGUUUACUAAUA